rnacentral:rRNA from 1 species
CCCAGACUCCUACGGGAGGCAGCAGUGGGGAAUAUUGGGCAAUGGGCGCAAGCCUGACCCAGCAAUGCCGCGUGAAGGAAGAAGGCCCUCGGGUUGUAAACUUCUUUUAUCAGGGACGAAGGAUGUGACGGUACCUGAUGAAUAAGCCCCGGCUAGCUACGUGCCAGCAGCCGCGGUAAUACGUAGGGGGCAAGCGUUGUUCGGAAUGACUGGGCGUAAAGGGUGCGUAGGCGGUGUAGCAAGUUAGAAGUGAAAUACCUAGAGCUUAACUCAGGUGCUGCCUCUAAAACUGCUAUACUUGAGUGCAGUAGAGGAAAGUGGAAUUCCUAGUGUAGCGGUGGAAUGCGUAGAUAUUAGGAGGAACAUCAGUGGCGAAGGCGACUUUCUGGACUGUAACUGACGCUGAGGCACGAAAGUGUGGGGAGCAAACAGGAUUAGAUACCCUUGUA